CCGCGAAGAAACAAAUCCUAAUUUGCAAAGUCUGUCGAUUGGUUUCUUCUUCAUCUUCUUCUUUCCUCCGUUUACGAAUCUGUUCCAGGAGCAAUCAAUUCCUUCCCCACUCCUCUUCUUUUUAAUCCCUCUUUAAUCCCAUUAAUGGGUACUUUUGGCUUUCUCCCUCUAGACUGGCUUCAUGCUCAGGAUGAUGUUCUUCCUCGCAGUUUCUUCUCCCCUCGCAGCGACACUGGCCGUCCAGAGCUUCUCAAGGACUUGGCUAGCGAGAGUGUGAAUGGAUCAUCAUCUGAUCGUAAUCCUGUCAGUGUUGCUGGACUUGGGUCUGCUUUAAUAUUCACAGUUUUUUUUUCUUUUUUUCUAGAACCAAAAAUUAUAUGAAAGUUUGUUUUUUAUGUUUUUUUUCUAAGUCACUUUGAUCUGUUUUCUUGAAAAGGUUUAAGUCUUUGAACUCUCCUCUGAUUCGUGCCUAUGGUGGACUUCGGUUUGAUCCCAACGGAGAAGUUGGUGUUGAGUGGGAACAGUUUGGCGCCUUUUACUCUAAAGUGCCACAGGUCUGAGAGUUUUCGUUUCGUUUUCAAGAAAGUUUUGUAACUAUUAUGACUGCGUUUGAUUGGUUCAUUCAUAGGUGGAGUUUGUUGAGUUUGGGUGAAACUCAAAGCUGGCUGCAACUGUUGCUUGGGAGGAUGAGCUCUCAUGGACGCUGCAAAACGCCAUUGAAUCACUUGAGGAGACUAUGCUUCAGGUUUCUUCUGUAAUAGUGAGAUUAAGGAGAGAAUCACUAGGAGUUUCUGUUGUUAGCAAGAACCAUGUUCCUAAUGAAGGAGACUAUCACCCUUCUGUAGAUACUGCUCUGGAGAUUAUUAAAGCAGAAGAUUCACCACUAAGCAAGGUUGUGCUUGCACGCAGCAGCAGAAUCAUUACGGAACGUUACUUAUUCUAGCUACGAGAGAGGCUAAUAAAUUCAGAAAAUUGACGAAUCAAAAGCCCUAUGUCGGAGGGAAAGUGAAUGGAAAAAAGAAAGUGACAGAGGACAAUGAAAUAGCCUGGAUACAGUCUCAAGCAGUGGUUCUCGACCUAAAGGUUCAGAAUGCAGAGCAGGAGUUACUGGCAACUGCGGCUGCACCAUGUCUUUUCUUCUGAUUAAAACGUGGAUAAGUAUGGCGAAUAGCAAGUACGAGUAUGUCAAGUCGUUCGAACUUGAAGAUGAAGUUAUGUUUCCUAACUUGAUCGUUGUCCGGAUUUUUCUAGAUUUUCUCAGGUUCAUGAGUUUGAGAAGCCUAAUGAUGAAGCAGCCCUCAAUCUGAUGUAUUCAUGUUCUUCUGCCGUUUUGGAAGAGUAUCUUGAUAUCAUCUUUGCAUACGGAUCCAGUGAUGAAUACAGCUUUGUAUUCAAGAAAACGUCAAGAUUCUACCAGAGACGAGCUAGGUACAUGUGAAUACAACUUAGAAGGAAGGACUCGGGCUAUAACAGUUACGAAGGUUUCAGGUAUAACAGUUACGAAGGUUGUCUCUCCUUCAGUCCUGCAACCUUUGACAUCCCCAGUUGGAAUCCCACUUGCCACCAGUUCUGAAGUGCCUCUAUUUCCUGCAAGUGAUUAGGGCAUACUCCAGAGACUGGAGAUCUAGAUGUUGAAGAAAACGCCAGCACACGUAAUUGUGACGAAGCACAGAGGAAAACGUGCUAAACUUGAGUAAUAGAGCAUUAACCACUCAUUUUAUAGAUUGCACUCAUGCAUAGGAGUACAACUUAUCUUUUCAAUUUGCAAGCAGAUGAGUUUAUUUAUCUACAAAUUUUAUAUGAUUUAUAAAUUAUUAAAAAUGUACAUUUAUAUAAUUAUAAACAUGUUCCACAUACAUUUUAAAUUUCUUUAUAAAUUUUUAAAACUCUUAAAAUGA